ensembl:lncRNA
ACCUGGUGAGAAUCUCUUUAUUAGACCAAUAAGAGAGUUCCAAACCUCUCAACCAAUAACAGCUAGUUUAUAGUUUUCCCCUCCCCACUCAGACCACUCCCAGACAGUCCUAGCAAAGUUCUUAUUUGAGAAAUUGUUCUUUGCUAGGAAGCUAUUUUGGGUUUCUUUUUGAUAAUUUUAAUUGAAAACAAUCACAGUAAGGCACUUAAUUUUUACCCAGAAUUUAUUUGAUAUUGAAUUUUUUUUUAAACAGCUGCAUUGGACCUUUGAGGUGUUGGUUUCCCAAACUCAGAGACUGGGGUUCAGAUCCCACCUGUGACACUUAGUACUGGUCACCCAUUUACUCAAUAUGAUUGUUUACUUGUGCAAUUAGCCCUCGGGGUCUAGAACACUGAUUGAACACUUAAUGUAGUAUUGCCCCAAUAGUGUAGGAUUUGAAAACCCAGACCUUAAUUACUUAAUUUCUGGAUGUAUUGUUUAUUUAAAUAUGAGAACUGGUAUAACUUGAUUGAUUUUAAAUCGUUAUGUAUUUAUUCAAAUUAUGAAAGGAUGCUUCUAACAUUUUGUAACAGCGGACGCAGAGACCCAUCAUUCAUUCGAAUAGGGUGCCAUUUGUGAAGCACAUUAAGCAUUCCUAUAGGUAGGUUGUACAGUACAGUAUGUAGACUCUCUCACAAAAAUCAAUCUUCGUCAUCAAAUAUUUAAAUGUUAUGCUGAUGACAUUUUUCUCAUACCUACAGGCAAGGCAAUUGAAUGGCAACUCAUAAACAACCAUAAAACUAUAACCAUGUGUACAUGCCUAACCAAAUACAAAGCUGGUAGUAUGCUCCAUUUUACAGUGCUUCAAACCUACUACUGAGCAAAUUGGUGAAUCAGUUCUGCUUCACAUUAGCAAGAUGUGAUACUAUUGCUACCUAAAACUAAGUGGUAAAAUGCUUAAGAUUACAGUGCCUUUUGAAAGUAUUCAUACCCCUUGACUUUUCCCACAUUUUGUUGUUACAGCCUGAAUUUAAAAUUGAUUAAAUUGAGAUUUUGUGUCACUAGCCUCCACGUCAAAGUGGAAUUAUUAUGUUAGAAAUUAAUUUUAAAAAAUUAAAGCAGAAAUGUCUUGAGUCAAUAAGAAUUCAAC